CAUCAGUUCCUCAUGCAUUGCC
rnacentral:miRNA from 8 species